GAUGAACGCUGGCGGCGUGCCUAAUACAUGCAAGUCGAGCGAACGGACGAGAAGCUUGCUUUUCUGAUGUUAGCGGCGGACGGGUGAGUAACACGUGGAUAACCUACCUAUAAGACUGGGAUAACUUCGGGAAACCGGAGCUAAUACCGGAUAAUAUUUUGAACCGCAUGGUUCAAAAGUGAAAGACGGUCUUGCUGUCACUUAUAGAUGGAUCCGCGCUGCAUUAGCUAGUUGGUAAGGUAACGGCUUACCAAGGCAACGAUGCAUAGCCGACCUGAGAGGGUGAUAGGCCACACGGGAACUGAGACGCGGUCCAGACUCCUACGAGAGGCAGCAGUAGGGAAUCUUCCGCAAUGGGCGAAAGCCUGACGGAGCAACGCCGCGUGAGUGAUGAAGGUCUUCGGAUCGUAAAACUCUGUUAUUAGGGAAGAACAGAUGUGUAAGUAACUGUGCACAUCUUGACGGUACCGAAUCAGAAAGCCACGGCUAACUACGUG
rnacentral:rRNA from 1 species